GCGGGACGGGAGCAGCCUCGGAGGCGGGGAUUGGCCUGGAGGUGUGGCAAGAGCGCGGGACAAGAGGCGAAGAUUGGGUUGAGGAAUGAGUGAGGUGUAAAAAACUUUUUAUCAUCAUCUCGUUGGACACUCCCAACCUUCCUAAGUAGUUGGUAGAGCUGGCUGGUCUUAGAAGGAACCUGAUCCACGGCUUAUCAAUGUCACCGUCCACCCAAGUUUUUCCUGAUUCCAAAAAAUUCUUUAAUGGACGAAAAUAUGCUUUCAGAUCAUGAUCAGAGGGUUUCUGCUGGAGGUCACCUCCUCAAAGCACAUCCAAAAAAGGGAGAGUUCCUAUCCUUCCUCCAUCCCCCAAUUCACAAGAACAUCCAGGAAAUAACCUGACAAUUUUAUUUACACUGAUGUGUGGGUGUCUGGCUGGAUAGUCUAGCUGCGUACUGGGAAGCGGGAUUGCUAGAGGGAAGAAGGAAGGGGUGAUUUUUGGAGUUCGCUGAGAUCAUGCCAGAUGGUAAAGAGCUCUGGAUUGGGAGCCACGACACCUGGUCCCCUACUAGAGUGACCUCGAGCAGAGAUGCCUCGUGUAGAAUAAAGGCCCUGGAAUUUAAAACCCC